rnacentral:rRNA from 1 species
CAACCUGCCUAUCAAGAGGGGGAAUAACAGUGAGAAAUCAGUUGCUAAUACCGCAUAUGCUCACAGUAUCACAUGAUACAGUGAGGAAAGGAGCAAUCCGCUGAUAGAUGGGCUUGCGCCUGAUUAGUUAGUUGGUGGGGUAAACGGCCUACCAAGACGACGAUCAGUAGCCGGACUGAGAGGGUGGACGGCCACAUUGGGACUGAGACACGGCCCAAACUCCUACGGAAGGCAGCAG